AUGCACAAGAGCAUCCUCCCAGUGGCUAGCGUGGACAGUGGCAUCAUGCCCAUAUGGGGCACAAGGAAAAGAUCUGUCAGUGGUAUUUUGCGGAGUGGGCACACUGACUGGACCAGGCAAGGAUUACCAGGCAAGGACUCGCAGGAGGGUCGACACAGCUGCAUUCAGACAGCCAAACUGUCAGCGAUUGGGUGCAGAGUUAUAGCGGAGUCAGGCGCAGGACACAGGUAUUGAGUAGCAUAACUGAGUUUACUCAAAAUAUCAAGAAAAAUUCCAAAUAGGAACAUACAAAAAACACUAGCACAAAACACAACCACUAACGACAUAAACAAUCACGGACAGAACAGGAAUGUAUGCCAGAGGGUUAAAUAAGGAAUGUGAUGUGUAAUAGAAACCAGGUGUGUGUGUGUAAUACAGACAAAACAAAACAAAACUGAAACAUGGAUCGAUGGUGACUAGAAAGCCGGUGACGUCGACCGCCGAACACCACCCGAACAAGGAGAAGGACCGACUUCGGCGGAUGUCGUGACACAAACAUUUCUCACCAUCACAGGUAUACAUACAUAUAUAUAUAUCCCACUUAAGACACUCCUCCUUCUCUCCAAUACUUACAUCUUAUGGUUCCACAGGAAAAGGAACCCUUAUUACACCCUUCAGGGGAUCUGACCUGACCUCCUGACCUCAACCCCUCCUUCGCUUAAUCCACAGAUGUCCAUCUGCUUCCCCUAUAGCAAUCCUUUGAUCUCCUACCGUCCACCCAGCACAUUCCACAGCCACUCUGUCUUUCUACAGAUCUCACUCCUUUAUAUACUAUGUGGCUGAUCUAUCAUGUCUUUAAUAUCUCUAUGUUCAACAUUUCAAAUCCAACACUGCUGACUGACCCACCACCACAGAAAGCACUGACCUAGGCUGAAACACCUGCUUUUUGGAGCUGCUUUACUCAAGACAACAAAAAAAGAGACCGCGCUUGUAUGCAGCUUGAUUACCUCAAAUAUCUAUAUUUUUCCAUUGUUUGCAAACUGACAUGUGACAUGUAUUAUUAUUUAUAUAUUGUUAGAAUAAUUUGUAUGGUUUGAGAUAAUGGCAAAAGUGUUCCACUCUGAUAUUGUAUAAUGGUGUGAAAUGUUUGAGAAUCAUAAGAAGAUAAUAUAAAGAUGUGUGUAGCUAUGUUAGAAUUAUAAUACUAGGAUAUUAUAGUCUUUAGUAAGGGUGUAAGCAGAGAGAAGUUGAAAAACAGACAAUAGAAAACCAUUAGAGGUUUUCUAACAAAGAGGGCCCCAACGGUUCUUUCUCUACGAUGUGGUUAGUGGGAAAGUACUGGUCAUUUGAGAAGGGAGUGACCUAAAGAUGGGAAUGUGUGUGUAUAUUAUAAAAAGACUGAGUCUUCAUUUUUGUCUUUAGAGCUCCCAUGAAUAAACUAUACUAACCUUUUGCAUUAAGCUGAGUAUUUGUCUAAUUCUUAUCAACCCUAGCUUUACAAUCUAGGGGGAAUUGGUCAAAGCUACAGUCAUCGUUGGGAUUGAAAAUUCUCGUGACAUAUAUAUAUAUAUAUAUAUAUAUAUAUAUAUAUAUAUAUACAGUUGAAGUCGGAAGUUUACAUACACUUAGGUCAGAGACAUUAAAACUAAUUUUUCAACCACUCCACAAAUUUCUUGUUAACAAACCAGAGUUUUGGCAAGUAGGUUAGGACAUCUACUUUGUGCAUGACACAAGUCAUUUUUCCAACAAUUGUUUACAGACAGAUUAUUUCACUUGUAAUUCACUGUAUCACAAUUCCAGUGGGUCAGAAGUUUACAUACACGAAGUUGACUGUGCCUUUAAACAGCUUGGAAAAUUCCAGAAAAUUAUGUCAUGUCUUUAGAAGCUUCUAAUAUGCUAAUUGACAUCAUUUGAGUCAAUUGGAGGUGUACCUGUAGAUGUACUUCAAGGCCUACCUUCAAACUCAGUGCCUCUUUGCUUGACAUCAUGGGAAAC
rnacentral:lncRNA from 13 species